ensembl:lncRNA
CUAGCGGCAUUGCAAGUGCUCAACAGGCAUGUAGGGCUGGGGGCCGUGCUGCUGGACGACACAGACAGAGAACAUUUCCAUCAUUACAGAAGCUUCUCCUGAACGGCACUGGUCUACGGACUCGGAGGCUGCGGGGUCUGGUGUUUUUUCUAGAUGAUCUUCAUGCAUUCUGAUAUUUGCUGAGAACCCACGACAUACCAGGCCCCGUAACAGGCAAUGGAGAUAAUUUGGCAAGUUCCAUCCCCACCAAGAAGGCAGCAAAGCUGAGCUCUUAUCUGAAGGAUGAGCAAAGAGGGAAAGCUGCACUGUUGGCCGAACGUGUGCCAAGCAUGACAGAGGGCAGGCCACGGACCAGCUGGAGCAUCUACACCAGGGCCAUGUUGAGAAACGCUGGUGCCACUUCAGCACAAAACACUAAAAGUAAUCAAAACUUUGGAAUUAUCACAAUGUUCUGAAGCUGCACCUGUAUUAUUAAGAAGAGUGAUUUAGAAAGAGAAAUAUCUAGAAUCGAAAAACAAUUCCUCCACUCUGGAUAAUCUUGAGCACAGCAGCUUUGUCUUACACAUUUAUUUAUCUUUCAUGGUUUACACAGGAUGUGGCACAUGCAUAAGUAUUUGUUAAAGGAAAGGACAGUGGAAUGAAUGCAUAAAGCCAUGAAAGCAUGAAAUGAAAUGAAUUCUCCUUCCUCCAAAGUAAUUUCAAAGGGGCAUUUAUAGCUGGAUAGUGAAGGAAGGAGCUGUAGAGAUCUCUGAAUCCAGCUCUUCCCUUUGACACAGAGGAGUCAAUGGUCAACAAGGUUCAGAAGUUCGCCCAAAGUCAUCAGGUGAGGUUGUCUUCCUUGCCUUCCCGAUUGUAGCUUUUUACCAGCGACCACUGGUGUUCAUUCCAUAUUUUAUGAUUUCCUGUCAACAACAACAAUAAAAAGGUUUCUGUAUGAUUAUUGAAUAUUUUUCUAGAGAGCUUGCUCUGGGACACAUGACUACUUCAGUUUCACAGCAAAGACAAAAUUCACAAGUAGUGUCACCUACUUUGAAAGAUAUUUUAGGGCCUAAGCUGCCACUGAGUUGCUCUUUGUAGCUAACCUAAGUCCCUCAUGCUAUACUUUGUCACUUUCUGAAAUUAAACAGCCAUUUUUCUGUGGGCGUUCUUAGGACUCUGCCUCCCUCUGCUGUGGCAGGUCCUGCACUUUGUUUAAGAUUCAAGGUUACGCUCAGGAGACAUGUUGGAUUUGCACCAGGCUGGAAGGCACACCAGAGACCAAGGAGCUUCAUGGCUUCAUUUGACGGUCACGGACACUUAGGGCCAGCCAGCGAAAGUGACUUCUUCAAAGUUGCAUCACGGUUCCUUGGCAGAGCUGGAACUCCAAUGAUCACAGGUACUCAAGCGACAAAGGCAAUGCCUUCGCAAAAGGGAACUUCGCCACUCACGAAGAAUACCUGUGUGUCCAGAUCAGGUACCCUCCUGAUGUCAAAACCACUCCUGAUUCUCAGCAUGCCAAAAGUUGAAUUUAGGGGAAAUCCUUCUCAGAAUUUUCUCCACCACCUUCUUGCCCACCUGAAACUCCUGCUCAUCCAACAAGAAGAUGGGAACACUUCUCCACAGUAUCCACUGAACCUCCUACUCCGGGCAAAAAUAAGUACCCUAUGGGGCCAGCCCAGGGGCAUAGCAGCUAAGUUCGAGCACACCAUUUCGGCAGCCCCAGGGUUCACCAGUUUGGAUCCCAGGCAUGGAUCUACGCACCGCUUCUCAAGCCAUGCUGUGGCAGGCGUCUCACAUAUAAAGUAGAGGAAGGUGGGCAUGGAUGUUAGCUCAGGGCCAGUCUUCCUCAUCAAAAAGAGGAGGAUUGGCAGCAGAUGUUAGCUCAGGGCUAAUCUUCCACAAAAAAAAGAAAAAUAAAAAUAAGUACCUGUAAGCCUUUCCUUUCUCUAUUUCACAUUUACCCAGGAUUCAUUUUCAAAAACAAAAUCUCAGAAAACAUUCUUCCCACUCUCCCCUUAACUUUUACUCUUUUAACAUAACUUUGGGGUUGUUUGAAGAUUGUUUUAAAUGUCUAUGUGAAUUGCCUGCAUGUUUAUUAAUAACUGUAUUCUCUGUUUGCUAAUACAGGUACACAUUUUACUAGUUUUCUUGCAUGAAAACAUCAGAAAAUGGCAUUGCCCUGGAAAUCCCGUGCCUUGACCACGUUCCCAUUUUAAUCCCGACGUCUUACAUUCUCUUUUCUGUAGCUGGAGGACCAGAGUGAGGGCCUCGUGGGGUCCGGGCUCUCAGUAUUUUGUGGGGGAGAAAGGACAACGGGGCAGCCUGUCCGUAGAUAUCACCAAAGACCUAAGCACAGUUUUUGAGGAGGAACAAAGACACCGUCCAAUCUGUUUGCACACACACACCUAGGGCAUUCAUAUGGCAGCCCUUAUGCACUGAGAGGAGAACUGAGACACGGAACCUGUAGUAGGUAGAGGACAAGGAGAGGGAGAAGGAAUAAAUCCAACUGCUCCUGCACACUUCCCCAGACGAGACCCGGGACGAGACGGGGUAAUGUCACCUCAGACCUAAACCAUUAAGCUACAUCGUGCCUCAAAGAAGCAGAAACUCAGACCAAGAUUCCUCCCUCUCUGCCCUCCCCUGGAUGGGCCCCUGUGAAAUCAAGGGACUGGCUUGGGAAGGACUUUGCACACUGACCUCAGAAAUUCUUUUUAGGGGAAUGUGAUCCCUUUUAUUAUACAGGGAGAUAUAAAACUGCGUAUGAAUUGGCAAUUUUAUUGCCUGAUUUGAACAUUACAUUUUAUUAGCAUAGUGGGUGUUUUUUUGUCAUACUCAUUACCUACUGCCCACAGUGAGGAUGGGAGCUCCGUUCUGGCUUGCACGGGAAGGAGAUUCAGAGCAGAGUGCCGGGGAGCGCCCUGCACAAUUGCACUGUUCUCUGAAAGCCUGUCCCAUCUUGUGGGUGGCUGUUAUUUGCCUCUGCAUCUAACUCUGCAGGCCCUGCAGGAAGCAGCGGGCUCCUUGAGGGCGGGGCCCGCUUCCAACCUCCCUCUCUAUCUGGCACGCUGCUGGGCAUACAGUCCUUGCUCAAUAACUCUCUGGAUCCACCCCUGUUCCUUUGGAUUCUGGUUGCAGUGUUCUCCCCUCUGCCCUGUGCUGCCCUUAGCCAUAACAUCAGGCUUAGUGCGCUUUUCCCAAAGCUUGCGGCCCUCCUCGUUCACCACAUCCUGCAUCCCCUAUGUCCAGAGCAAUUGCUUUGUGCCCACGGAUGGCUUUGCUGAGGCAGCGCUCCCUGGAGAGGCCAGGCUCCUAUCUGCGGCCCGUGAGCAGGGGUUUGGCAGGCCGAGGUCCAUCCUGGCACAACUGAUUUCUGCGUGAUCAGCCCAGGACAUCAGUUAGCAGGCAGGUUGGGAAAGGAUGUAAAAUGAAUGGUCCCUGAUAACUCGAUCAGGAGCUGGAGCCAGAGAUCAUAGAGAAAUUUAUCACCAGAAGUGACAGCACCAGGCCCUAGCAAGAGCUUCCCCAGGAUCUGGCUCCUGUGCUGAGGGUUUCUGUCAGAUACCCUAGCCCAUGCAAGAAAGAGAUCAGGGUUAAAGAAGGUGGGGGAGUGAUCCUGAGUUAUGGGGGAAUGAGCCUGAAACGAGGCUGGUCCGGGCUCAGGUCUGAGCCCUCCACUUAGCAGGUGGGCCUUGAGGAAGUUGCUUAAGGUCUCCGAGCCUCAGUUUCUUCAUCCGUGCAAUGGGUAUAAUGCCACCUCCCUUUGUGAGGGGUCCACAAAUUAGUAGAGAUCCGCACGUGGAAGGUGCUCGAUAAAUAAUCUGUCGAAUGAGUUACCGAAUACCAAUCACCUUUCUCAGUGCCUGGCCCACCACCGAUGCUUUUAAUGAAUGAAUGAGUAUCAAUUUGCUAUCAUAGUGCACGGCAUUUAGUCUGUUGUUGAAAAUAAAGUUAGGUCUCUCCCCCACCAAGAUUUUACCCCCUCCAACCUGUUUUCCUUCACGAUUUGUAAAUGCUGGCCCAGAGAGGUGAGACAACCUUGUCAAGGUCACAGAGCGACUGUGAAUCAGAGCCCCUUUCCUGCUCCCAUGCUCGGCCCCGUAGAGCUCCGGCUGGCCCGCCGUCCACACUGCUUCCAGAGUCCAGAAUACCGCAGACCAGUUGCCUCCCGACCUCUGCCCAGGAGGACUUCCGUGCCCAUUGAGGUAACACUGACCCAGGGCCUCUAAUCCCGCUUCUGCUAGCCUACCUCCCCUCUUCCUAUCUGUGAUGGUUAAUUUUAUGUGUCAGCUUGGUUAUGCCAUGGGACCGAGAUAUUUGGUCAAACGUUGUUCUAGAUGUUUCCAUGAAGGUUGCUUUCAGAUGAGAUUAAUAUUUAAAUCAAUAGACUUUGAGUAAAGCAGUUGACCCUCCAUAAUGUAGGUGGGCCUUGUCCAAUCAGUUGAAGGUCUUAAUAGAAAAACAUAGACCUUCCCCAAGGAAGGAGGAAUCCUGCUGGCAGGCUGCCUUUAGACUCAAACUGCAACAGCAACUCUUCCCUGGGUCUCCAGGCUGCCAGCGUACCCUGCAGGUUUUGGACUUACGAAUGUAUAUCAUAUACACACACGGACAUACCCAUCCUAUUGGUUCUGUUUCUCUGGAGAACUCUGACUAAUACACUAUCCUUCUUGGUAGUUUAUUUUCCAGCUACUAGCUGCUACUUACCGUGUCUCCAAAGCACCAGGAUGGCUGUCACCUUGGCUUCUUUGCACAGACAUCUGUUUCUGCCUGGAACUCUGUCACUGCUUACUGUCUGGCCCACUGCCUUAAACUCAGCUUACCCAGACUCCUCCUUUGACCAGGGCCUAUCUAGCUGCAUAGCGCUGCCUGCCGUGUAGCUGUUCCUUCAUGGGGCUCCUGUUUUCCUGUCUAUGUAAUUUACGACCUUGUAUUGAAUUUGCACAUCUGUUGUCUCUCUCCUCACCUGGGACCACUGAAGGCAGGGCCUUGCUUAUGCAUCUCAGGCAUCUUAACCUAAGUUAACAAAGUUGUGUUGAAAACAAGGAAGGAAAGAAAGAAGAAAAGAGGGAAGGAAGGAGGGAAGGAGAGGGGAAGGGAGAGAGAGAGGAAAAGGAGGAAAGAUGGAAACAGGGAACCAGGAUGGGCAAAACCAAACAAAGUAACAACUCCCACUGAUGGGGACCGCCACAGGAGCAGAGGCACCCACUGAAAGAGCUCCCAAUAACCAAGCUGGAAGAAUUUGAGCAACAAAAUUAAGUGGUAUUGGAUUAAAACCCAAAUGAUAAAAUAAAUAUUCAGAGUAUACGUCCAUAUAAAUAAAUAAUUGAAUAAAUUAAUAAGUGGUGGGCACUUUUCAAAUGAUUUACAUAGAUAUACCACCAUCAAAGAGGGAACACGUAACUCACCCCGCCUCAGGUGUCAGCUGCACAUAGUGACUGUCCCCCAGAGAGUGCAGAAUAGAAAGGGGGAAAAAGCACAACUUUAUGGUGGAGAAACCUGAGGAGCAUGACCUCAGCCAGGUGGUCAAGGGGAAACACCCACAGUCAUAAAUCAUGUUGAUUGUCUACACCCUUGAUAGAGGAUGACAAUGGUUCUUCAUCUCUUCCUCCUCAAAACCCACAACCCUGGUCUAAUCACGAGAAAAACAUCAGAUACAUUCCAGAGGUGGGGCAUCCUACAAAACAUCCUCAAAACUGUCAACGUCAUCAAAAACAAGGAAAGUCUGAGAAGCAGCCUAGAGGAGCUUUAGGAGGCAAGACAACUAAUUAUAAUAUGAUAUCCUGGAUGGGAUCCUGGACGAGAAAAAGGACAUUGGGCAGAAACUAAGAAAACCUAAUUGAACCAUGGACUUUAGUGGACAAUGAGGUAUCAAUAUCAGCUCAUUGAUUGUAACCUAAGUGUCAUAGUAAGGUAAAAUGUUAGUAGUAAGAGGGGAAACUGGACGUGGAAUAUAUGGGAGCACUCUCUGCUAUCCUCUCAAUUUUUCUGUAAAUCUAAAACUGUUUUAAAAAAAUAAAGUCUAUUAAAAGAAAUAAGAAAAAUGGGAAAGUUAUUAAACAUCAACCAAUCUGAUUUAUCGUAACCUUAUUUGGAUCCUGAUUCACAAAAAAACAAAGAGAAAACUGGGACUCAAACCCUAGACUAAGCGUUCGAGUGAGAUUAUGUUGAUCGUCUGUGACUCUGUGGAAGUAUUUUUGUUCUUUUUUCUUAUAGUGAUUUCCCUUCUCCCAGAAGAACAUCCCUAGAGAUUAGUUGAAGCAGCAAGCCACAGUCCAGCCUUAAUCUUCCAGGAUUGGCUGAGUUACUUCACAGCAAUUCGUCUCCCUCCACUCCAAGCCCAGCCCACGGCAGUAAUUUGCAUUCUAAAGGAGGAAGUCAACUAACAGGAUUCAGAUAAGGAUGGUCAAUAGGUACUGGCUUCCCUCAGGGCCACCUCAGGCCAGGGGGUGUCUGCUCUCUAGCCCCACCUACCGGACCUUGUCUAAAUCACCUGAAUAAAUGCAACUGCCUGGCAAGACCCAAUGCCAGGCACGGAGGGGAAAGAAACAAGACUCAUCAGAUCAGGGAAUAUUGGGAUCGGAGGGAAACUUUAAGAUGAAUCUCUUCUUUAAUUGAAAGGAAAACCAAGUGUUAGAUGCAUUGGACAUUUACUACGCAUCGAGCCACUUUGACCAGAGUUCGAACCCUGCUCCUGCCACUGCGUGGUCAUGGAACUCAAGUAAGUCAGCGACUCUCCUUGGAAUUCACUUUCCUUGUCUGUAAAAUGGGGAUAAACAGUGUGUCCCCCAUGCUGGUUGUUAGUCUAGUUAUUUUUGUUUUUUAAUUUUAAAUGUUUUAUGUGAGGGCACAGAGGUUUUGAUAGAUAUUUCUUGGUUGACACUUGAGGUUAUAACUCUUGCUUUUCAGCUCUCACUACACAUAUAUGCACACACACAUGCACACACACACUUACAUGGACACAUCUUUUCCUUGAGAGGCCGGGAGAAAGGACAGAGGGCAAGACUUGAGAAAAGACCAUUUCAGUCUAGGCCUAGUGAAAGGCAAAAAAAGCAAGAGAAAAGCCACUGGAACCAGCAAGAUUAGCAAAAGUGGACAACUGCUUCAUCCCUGUAUCAUCUUCCAUGAAAGCCAUUCAUCUGUUCACACACUCAUGCAUUAACAAAACUUUACUUCACGCCUGCUGUGUGCCAGACAUUGGGGAAGCAGCAGCAACCCCAGCUCUCACACCUCACCAGCACCAGAUCUUGGCUCUGAAGAAAUUCCAAAGAUUGACCUGGUUUCUCUAGUAAUAUCCAACGGAGAUGGGGACCCGAAGCUGCCCACGUGUAAAUCUGGUCAACCGAGAAAGUCAAUUUCUAUGGCAAGAAUGGAGCCAUUGGUCUACCAUUGCCCCAAGUCUAGAGUCAUUAGUAUUACCCAACUCCCCUCAGUCCAAAUCCACGUUGAUGGCAACGUUAGGACUAGUAAUAUGGGUCUUGGUGUAGUUUUGUUUCUAGGGAGCAGAUGUUCUGCCCAAGAUGCACAUGUUCUGGUCUUCCUCGUAGAACCUGGCCGCUGUCACCUGCUCAGUGGACAUUCUGAUUUAUACGUUGUAGGAGCUCAAUCAAUAUCUGUUGAGUGAGUGAAUUAGUGAAUGGAUAUCAGUCUCUGGGGGAUUUGUUAAAUGUAAAUUAGUGACAAGAAACGGAUCACCUCUCCAUACACUAGUCAAGGCGGAUUUGUACCAGAAGAUUAGACCUCGGAUUUUGCUAACAACGUCAAGACUUCACCCCUCUGCUUGUCAAGGAAGCCCACGAUGGCCCCUUUUUCUUGUGCCUCAAUACAUCACACACAAUUUAAUGUUUAACUGUACACCUUUUGAAAGUUCUAUAGUACCUGUAUAUUACCUGUAGACUUACUCAUAUUUCCAGCUAGACUGUGGACUCGACUCCUCUUGACAGCAAAAUCCUCAGGACAUUUUCUCAAGUGUGUUCAGAUUGUCAAUUCAAUCCAACUUCAUUUCACUUACUUCAAUUAAGGAAUAUUUGUUAAGAAAUGACCGUGUUCCUAGUGCAAUACUAAGGAAUAUGAAGAUAAAUAAGACCCAGUACAUGCCUUCCAAGAGCCUGAACCACGUUUAGAGAAAGAAGAAACAUAUUUGAAAAGCCUCUGAUUCAGUAUUUGGACACGUGUUACUGAUCCGCGGAGAGCCCUCACGAAGGGGUGAUGACGUCUAUUAUGUAGUGAUUUUCAUGGCAACCUUGUGAACUGGUGAUUUUUACAGAUGAGGCAGCUGAGGCUCAGAUAAGGUAACUGACUGGUUCGAGAUUGCUCAGCACAGACAGACGAGAGGAUGGAGCUUGAAUCCACAUCUGCUUCCCCGAGCCCACUCUGUGCUUGGAUUUCCCCAGGGCCCCUACCCCACACCUGCCUGGCCCUGCCCACCUCUUACCUCCCAGCAUUCGAUUGUGUCUGUAUGUGAAAGCUCAGCCCUUGGUGACCCUUCCUAUUAAGGCUCCUGGAAGAAGACGGGCGUGCUGGGUCAGUUAUGAUAAUAGCUGAGGACAAUGGCAUCAGGAUUCACAUGAAGAAGGCUUUCUUUCUCCAUGACCAGCAACACCCUAGUUACGGUUUAUAUGCAACAUCUAUUUCUAGAAAGAAAACCUGAAGCGAGCCUCAGCAUUGCCACAAAUAACCGAGGUUGCUGUAAGAACACAUCUCAAUUUAUUUAUUUAUUUUUAAUUUUUUAAGAUUGGCCCUGAGCUAACAUCUGUUGCCAAUCUUUGUUUUCCUUCUUUUCCCCAAAGCCCCCCAGUACAUAGUUAUAUAUUCUAGGUGUAGGUCCUUCUGGUUCUGCUAUGUGGGACACUGCCUCAGCAUGGCUUGAUGAGCAGUGCCAUGUCCGUGCCCAGAAUCGGAAUGAGUGAAACCCCGGGCUGCCAAAGUAGAGCGAGAGAUCUUAAUCACUUGGCCACGGGGCCAGUUCCACAGCUCAAUUUAAAUUAAUAAAUCCACUUGGAAAGAUACUUUUCUGUCUCAGUCUUCUCUGCAUCAUUAGUGCCUGGAAGAGGGCUUCCUAUGGAGUAGGUGCACAAUAUGUUACUGUGUGAUGAUAAAUAUUUCUAUUCUUUCUGGG